UCUGGUCACUGUUAAAUUCAGUAUUCUUUUAAACGGUUAACAAAGUCCUAACACUAAUUCAAGUGUAAAAUUUUCAUUGUACAAUUAGUUGUCACAGUACUGACUAUUCCAUUUUUAGCACAAACAACCUUCACGUAUGAGCUUCAGGAUACAAUAAAGAAGCUACGAGGUGAAAAUGCAUACUUGCAUCAUCGACUGGAAAACCUCACCCAAGCACUGCAUGAGCUGAGAAAACUCCUGGAUCACUCAAAAGGUCAUGAAUUUUCAGAGCCCAGUGUAAAUCAUGACAGUGAUCAGUUACAUGCCUGGAAUGAGUGGAUUCAUAAUGGUAUUAGUGCUGAAACACAUCACCUGAUUCAACAAGCAUUCUGUUUGUCUGAUCAUGAUUUGGCCAGUGCAUUCCAUCCAGCAUAUGUACUUAUUCUUGUGUUCUGCACGACUGUGUGUAAUUUCUUGUUGUUCUAGCUGUGAAACAUGAAUGUAGGCCACUGGCACAGUGUUGCAUAUAAAUGGGUAAAUACAAAAUGUUUUAAAGUUCAGUAAAAGAAAUCUGUUAUUGGCAGUGGUGGACGAAUUAACUUUAACGCAUGUACUUUAAAGUAGUAAAGUAGAGAUACAGUAGGUAAGUGCUCCCUUUAAACUUUUAUUUGAGUAAUUUGAGUACAAAAGUAUUUGUCUUCAAAAUGUACUUAAGUAUCCAAGUACUAUAAUUUAUAAUGGCUAUAAGGUCUUAUGAUUUUUCUCUUGCUAAAUCAACUUAGUUUAUAUAAAAUACUCUGUUACUCUUAACACACCAAUCUAUUAAUAGAAUUGUAUUAAUGAGUCAAACACUUAUUGAUAUCUAUUAAGAUUUUCAUGAGCACAAAACCUUAUUUUCUACUACUUCAAAACAAUCGCACAAAUAAGGCCAUGGGUACUGUGGCAAGUUAGAGUCAGAGUUAGAGUUAGAGUUAGAGUUAGAGUUUCUUUUAUCAUUUAUUCCUUUCAAAAUGUUCUGUGUGAUGUUGAACUGAUGCUGAACUGUAUGUUCGUGCUACGUAGAUACCACCAAUAGCGGUUCUAGCUUGAAGGACACCCUGGGUGAUCCACACCAUGACCCAACAUCUCCCCCACUGAUUAGUUUUAGCUUUGAGAAGCUCCUCUCUGCUUCAGCUACUGUCACUGGAUGAGUAAAACAUAUUCUCAGAGCAGUCCACAAUACAUUUCUGAGAUCUUGCUUUUAUAUAUAAAUAUCACCCUAAAUGCAUUUAUUGCGCAAUUAUAUACACGUCAUUAUGCACAAUUUUUACAACUCUCAGAGCCGAAAACCAUAAACUCUGGCUAAUUGUAGCCAUAAUAUACAUACAACAUCAAUAUCCUUAUAAUAUACCUGUGUAUCUUUUAAAUGAACCUUUUAGGCAGCACUGGAGAUUCCCCUUACUGAACUCAAUUUAGUACCUAUUCAGUACAAUCACAGAAAACCUUUAUGACAUCACCUCAAUUAAAGGUAACCCUAUCAAUAAGUACUAGUUUAACUGCUAGUUAGGUUGUAAAUGUUUUGUUGCUACACACAUUAUGAUAAACUGCAUACUAUAAAUUAUAAUGUUAUGCACCUGAAUUUGGCUCCUGAGGGUUUAGACCUUUUUUGUCACCCUUAAAGGGUGCACACCUUUCGAGUCCCGACCAGGUUUAUUGCCUGCAACAUGAUAUAAUAAUGGAUGCAACUGUGCAAAUGGUCGAUUAGUUUUUGCCGUGGACGCCC